UUUCCGUAGGUGAACCUGCGGAAGGAUCAUUCAUAAUAAGUGUUUUAUGGCACUUUUUUAAAUCCAUAUCCACCUUGUGUCCAAUGUCAGGGUUGAUUUUUCUCUCGAGAGGAUCAACCCCAAACAUCAACUAUAUCUCAACUCUUUGUCUGAAAAAUAUUAUGAAUAAAACAAUUCAAAAUACAACUUUCAACAACGGAUCUCUUGGCUCUC
rnacentral:misc_RNA from 1 species